rnacentral:precursor_RNA from 17 species
UUCGGUGCUGGAUGGUGCCGACUCGCGGUUAGUUUUGCUGGCUUUGCAGUCAGUUGGUGAUCCUCAUUGCUGUGCAAAUCCACGCAAAACUGACCGCGUCGGCAAUGGCGACAAUCUCUCACG